rnacentral:lncRNA from 1 species
AAUAUUGUAACAGCAAAACCAACAAAACAGAAUGACCAAAAUUGAAUUUGUAGCUUCAAAAGUGCUUUAAUUGAAUAAGCAUAAUUAAAAUAUGGAAAUAAGGUUUGAAUGCUACAAAGUGAUUACAUAAACGGAUUCUGAGUACAAUAGGUUACAAAUAGUCCAAAUAUACACUUAACCUAAAUACUUAAUUGAUUACAUCCUAACUUAAUAAAAGCUGUUGCAAUUGANNN